rnacentral:rRNA from 1 species
GGUCGGCUAAUUACGUGCCAGCAGCCGCGGUAAUACGUAAGGACCGAGCGUUGUCCGGAAUUAUUGGGCGUAAAGGGUACGUAGGCGGCUUUUUAAGUUUGACGUGAAAGCCCGGGGCUUAACUCCGGCAAGCGUUGAAAACUGGAGGGCUUGAGUGAUGGAAGGGACAGUGGAAUUCCUGGUGUAGUGGUGAAAUGCGCAGAGAUCAGGAAGAAUACCAGUGGCGAAGGCGACUGUCUGGACAUUAACUGACGCUGAGGUACGAAAGCGUGGGGAGCAAACAGGAUCAGAUACCCUGGUAGUCCACGCUGUAAACGAUGAGUGCAAGGUGUUGGGGGUCAAACCUCGGUGCCGCCGUUAACACAGUAAGCACUCCGCCUGGGGAGUACGUACGCA